rnacentral:lncRNA from 10 species
GUCAUGGAUGUCUCUCUGUUCCCCUUCACAGAACAGAUGCAACUUAUGGCUCAUCAGGUGGCUUUUGGUGCAGACAACACUGUCUCCCCAUGUCUGACCUUGAAGCAGGAAGGUCCGGAAGGAGGAGGGAGGGUCUGUCAGGAUCCGGCAGAGACCCAUCCCUAGUCCCCAUUCCUGAACCAAGAUGUCUCUGAAGCCUGACACCAACAUCCCAUCAGAGAAGCCAGCUAUUCAGGAGGAGACUAGAGAGCUGUAGCCUUUGAUCCUAACUUACUCCUUGCAAAGCCACCUCAAUCUGAUACUGACCCAUAGAUAUUUCUAAUGGU